ACCGGCCUUCUAAGCCGUAGGUCACAGGUUCGAAUCCUGUAGGGCGUA
rnacentral:tRNA from 1 species